UACGAAGGGGGCUAGCGUUGCUCGGAAUCACUGGGCGUAAAGGGUGCGUAGGCGGGUCUUUAAGUCAGGGGUGAAAUCCUGGAGCUCAACUCCAGAACUGCCUUUGAUACUGAGGAUCUUGAGUUCGGGAGAGGUGAGUGGAACUGCGAGUGUAGAGGUGAAAUUCGUAGAUAUUCGCAAGAACACCAGUGGCGAAGGCGGCUCACUGGGCUCUACCUGACGCUGAGGCGCGAAAGCGUGGGGAGCGAACCGG
rnacentral:rRNA from 1 species